CAUGAAGCUGGAAUCGCUAGUAAUCGCGGAUCAGAAUGCCGCGGUGAAUACGUUCCCGGGUCUUGUACACACCGCCCGUCACACCAUGGGAGUCGGAAAUGCCCGAAGUCGGUGACCUAACUGAAAGGAAGGAGCCGCCGAAGGCAGGUCUGGUGACUGGGGUGAAGUCGUAACAAGGUAGC
rnacentral:rRNA from 1 species